UACGUAGGGUGCAAGCGUUGUCCGGAAUUAUUUGGGGCGUAAAGAGCUCGUAGGCGGUUUGUCGCGUCUGCUGUGAAAAACUCAGGGCUUAACCCUGAGCCUGCAGUGGGUACGGGCAGACUAGAGUGUGGUAGGGGAGAUCGGAAUUCCUGGUGUAGCGGUGGAAUGCGCAGGAUAUCAGGAGGAACACCGGUGGCGAAGGCG
rnacentral:rRNA from 1 species